AUCUCUUAUGAUGAUUCAAAAUUAAUAACUUUCAUUCUUCUGAUGUUAACCGUGAUGAAAGUUUUUUGGAGACCUGAACUGAAGAGAU
rfam:Helianthus annuus linkage group 16, whole genome shotgun sequence.